GACGAACGCUGGCGGCAUGCCUAACACAUGCAAGUCGAACGAGACCUUCGGGUCUAGUGGCGCACGGGGGCGUAACGCGGGGGAACCUGCCCGUAGGUUCGGAAUACCUCCCCGAAAGGGGUGCUAAGACCGGAUAAGCUCUUCGGACCAAAGAUUUAUCGCCAUUGGGUGGGGGCGUGUUGGAUUGGGGAGUUGGUAGGGUAAAAGCAUACCAAGGAGACGAUCCAUGGCUGGUGUGAGAGGAUGACCAGCCACACUGGGACUGAGGCCCGGCCCCGACUCCUACGCGAGGCAGCAGUAGGGUAUACUGGACAAUGGGCGCAAGUCUGAUAACGCCACGCCGGGUGAGUGAUGAAGGCCUUAGGGUUGUAAAGUUCUCUUACACGAGAUGAUAAUGACAGUACCGGGAGAAUAAGCACCGGCUAACUACGUG
rnacentral:rRNA from 1 species